UGGGGAAUAUUGGACAAUGGGCGAAAGCCUGAUCCAGCCAUGCCGCGUGUGUGAAGAAGGUCUUCGGAUUGUAAAGCACUUUAAGUUGGGAGGAAGGGCAUUAACCUAAUACGCUAGUGUUUUGACGUUACCGACAGAAUAAGCACCGGCUAACUCUGUGCCAGCAGCCGCGGUAAUACAGAUGGUGCAAGCGUUAAUCGGAAUUACUGGGCGUAAAGCGCGCGUAGGUGGUUUGUUAAGUUGGAUGUGAAAUCCCCGGGCUCAACCUGGGAACUGCAUUCAAAACUGACUGACUAGAGUAUGGUAGAGGGUGGUGGAAUUUCCUGUGUAGCGGUGAAAUGCGUAGAUAUAGGAAGGAACACCAGUGGCGAAGGCGACCACCUGGACUAAUACUGACACUGAGGUGCGAAAGCGUGGGGAGCAAACA
rnacentral:rRNA from 1 species